ensembl:lncRNA LINC00390 long intergenic non-protein coding RNA 390
AUAGGCACCAAGGGCAUUGUCUCAGCAGCCUCAGCCACCAGACAGGAUGGCCCAGGGCUGCUUGUUCCUUGACCUGCUAGGACCAACUGUGACUCAUCUAUUUACUGCAGAGCAAAGGAACCCACCAGGGCAGAGCCUCAGCUCUCAGCCUCCCGGAAUGAACCAUGAACCCAAAGCAAAGAGCAGAACUCCUUUGACACCUCCAGCUUCACAGACAAAGAUGAAUCUCCUAAGGCAUUUCUGAAACAUGCAGUUCUGAAGUCUGGCCAGCCACACCAAAGAGCUUUUCGCAAGAAGGCACAGGCCAGGUAGAGGCAGCUGUGCAGUGGGAGGACUGUGAUGUUUUGGACUAGAAAAUAAGACGCAAAUGAGGCCAAAAAAACACAGGCACUGCAUAAAGGUGUCUUCUCCCCACUUUAUAAGCCUUAUGUGUGAUAAUAUUCAAUGCCACAGCAAGGCAAGCAAAUAGGUCCUUGGAGGGAGGGAUAGCUGGAUUUUAAUCCUGGCUCUACACUAAGGUCUUGGACUACUUACUGCAGGUCUCUGAGCUUCAUAGUUUUAUGUAUAAAAUAGGAUGAAGACCAUCCCCAAAUCCACUUCGAUGGUGAGAAUUAGGUGACAUGACAGCAGAAGGGCAUUUAGAGUUUGGCACAGAAGGGAUCUCAACAAAUGGUAGCUGUGUUUCAUCGUUCAUUUGAGAACUGAUGUUUGGAUCCUUUUCUGCAUCUUGAAAUGUCCCAAAAUAUUCCUCCUUAAGCCCUGCAGUUGGAUACUCAUUGAUACUUCUCUGUUCAAUUUAUACUGCGAGCAGGGGAGGGAGGCUUGAGCUUGGUUCCAUGAACGAGGUUGAAGGGUGUAAGUCUCCCAGCUUCAUUUCUGUCUCCUCCUCACCUGGGGAGCCAUGGCCAAUUCUCUUCCCAGGUCACUUGACUUCUCCAUGACCAUGACUUUCACCUUCUGCAUUUUGGAACAAUAUACUCAUGAAUGCUAAGAAGCUUUUGUUUCUUUCUGCCUGUGCUGAGCCUGUCUACUAUAAAAGAAAAAUCACAAUGGUUGUCAUAGUUAUGCUCUUUGCUUCCUGAGUGGAAUAGCACCGGUUUUUAUGUUACAUUAUACUAUAUUCUGGAUCUCUCUUUGAUGGUGGGUUAUGGAGAAGGUUUGCCAAUUCUUUCUUUUACAAUUCUUUUUAAAUAAAUCCUCAGAAUUAAGGCCA